ACUGAACGCUGGCGGCAGGCUUAACACAUGCAAGUCGAGCGAGCGGCGGACGGGUGAGUAAUGUCUGGGAAACUGCCUGAUGGAGGGGGAUAACUACUGGAAAAGGUAGCUAAUACCGCAUACCAUCAGAUGUGCCCAGAUGGGAUUAGCUAGUAGGUGGGGUAAUGGCUCACCUAGGCGACGAUCCCUAGCUGGUCUGAGAGGUUGACCGGCCACACGGGAAUGGAGCCACGGCCCGGACCCCUACGGGAGGCAGCAGUGGGGAAUAUUGGACAAUGGGCGCAAGCCUGAUACAGCCAUGCGGCGUGUGUGAAGAAGGCCUUCGGGUUGUAAAGCACUUUCAGCGAGGAGGCGUUACUCGCAGAAGAAGCACCGGCUAACUCCGUGCCAGCAGCCGCGGUAAUUC
rnacentral:rRNA from 1 species